GCGGGGCCUCGGCUUCUGGGUAGCUGCCGUUGCUGUGCCAGGCAAAAAAAAAACAUUUCCCAUCUCUAAGGGGGGAAGGAGACCCAGCUACCAGGGAAAUCGGCACUGAAGGGACUCCAUAUUGCUGUUCUGCAACAGCUGAUCGUUGCAGAGCAGGGUGAGCGCCUCCAUGCAUUGGUAACCACGCCCACCCCUUCCGGCCUCUCCCAGUGCACACCCCGAUCCAGUCCUUACUUGAAGCUCCUGUCCCACACUGAUGACGGCUGAAGUAAAGAGCCGCCUCUGCAGGACUCUCGCACCUAUUGGCAGUGACGUCUCCCAUGCAGGCCCCGCUGUCCGUCGUUUCUGGACUCGCGCAAGCGCAGUCCAAAUUUUACGGAGGGACCCGUAAAAACUGGGAGUUAAACCAAGGUUUGCGGGGCAGCGGGAGACUCAAGGUACAGUAUAACCAGAACAAUUUGGAUUCUUAGAUCCAGGGCACAGCCGCCAAACUCGGACUUCAUUACACCCCGGCCACAGUAUGUGUUGGUCAAAUAGCAUAAUGCCUGAAAGGCUGAAGUGAUAAUUGAAGACAAAUGUCUCAUCAUGUGGAAAUGACAGAGUACAACAGUGGUCAGUGAAACCCUGAUUAAGCUUAGCUUGGCCUCCAACAGCUAGCAAGAAAAGAGACCUGCAGAUGACGAAAGUGGCCAUCAGGACUAUUCUAUUCACACUUAGCUGGAGGCAUCCUGCAUUCCGUUAAUUGUUAAUCUGGGAGCAAUAUCCUGCUGAAAGAGGCCACUGCCAUCAGAGAAUACUGCCUCCAUGAACAGGACUGGCAUUGAAUCUACAGAAAAUAACACUGGGAAAACGGUAAUUAUGAGACACCUGAUGACUACUUGUAUGAAUUGAACUAGACAUGGAUGUUUGUAAACCAAGCAGUGCUCUAGAAAUAGUCUGAGCACUGUGGCAGCUUAGACGGUGUUACCGUGAAACAGACUUAAACCGCCUCACGUUAUUUCCAUGCAGCGGACAAAUAGGACUUCAAAUCAGCCAUCACACCUGCCAGCAUCGCUCAAAGGGGAUCAGGGCAGAGAUCCUUAUUUGGACCCGUAUGUACAAGACACACUGUGCAAGUAGAUGCUGUUCCAGUUAUUAUGCAUAGA